GGUGGUGUGAUGUCUCAGAUGAAGGCUGUGCUGCUCUCGCUUCAGCUCUGAGAUCAAACCCCUCACACCUGAGAGAACUGGAUCUGUCUGGGAAUAAAAUCAGAGACUCAGGAAAGGAGCUGCUCUCUGCUCUUAAGGAUGAUGAAUGUUACAAACUACAGACACUCAGGUUUUGAUGAACAUCUGUGUGCGAGAUGAAGACUCUGGUGUUCCUGCAUUUCCAUAUUGGGGAACAGACAACACAUUCAUAAUCACAUCACUCAUUUAGUUCGAACACGUUGAUGGGAUUCUCACCUGACAGGAUCGGCAUUUGGGGAGUUAAUCUGAGGAAGCCCCGAGGAGACUCACUACAAAGCAUAUUUAUCUCUUAGGAAUUUAAUAUACUCGCUGAUCACUUUAUUAGGAACACCUAUAUAAAUUGUAUAUUUAUUAACUCUCAUUGUGUAAAUUUAACAGAAUAUGUCAAGAUUAAAAGUGAAGUGUUAAAAUAUUCUUGCACACAUGUUAGGCUAAAUAUAAUGUUCCUGAAAGUUUAAUACUUACAGGAAAUUAAAUCUAUACUGAGGCGAUCUGUGACUUCAUUACAGAACCCGACUCUAAAGUUAUCCAAACCCUCCCUCUCUCCGAGGUUCAGAUGUCACGCUCUGAGUACAGAUUACAUCAGAGAAUCCGAGAUUGUGACGUCACUUCCUCGCCACCCGACUUACUGAAGCUCAGACCAAGCGGCUGUAUAUCGCUUCUAAACUGUUGUAAACAACCCUAAAGAUGCCAGAGUGUCAAGUGUUUGGGUGUAGCAAUAAAUCCAAUCUCAUUUUUGUGUGA